UACAGGGGGUGCAAGCGUUAUUCGGAAUUAUUGGGCGUAAAGAGCGCGUAGGCGGUCUGAUAAGUCUGGUGUGAAAUCCCCGGGCUCAAUCCGGGAAGUGCAUUGGAUACUGUUAGACUGGAGUACAGGAGAGGAUGGCGGAAUUCCUGGUGUAGAGGUGAAAUUCGUAGAUAUCAGGAGGAACAACAGAGGCGAAGGCGGCCAUCUGGACUGUCACUGACGCUGAGGCGCGAAAGCGUGGGGAGCAAACAGG
rnacentral:rRNA from 1 species